rnacentral:rRNA from 1 species
GACGAACGCUGGCGGCGUGCUUAACACAUGCAAGUCGAACGGAAAGGCCCUGCUUUUGUGGGGUGCUCGAGUGGCGAACGGGUGAGUAACACGUGAGUAACCUGCCCUUGACUUUGGGAUAACUUCAGGAAACUGGGGCUAAUACCGGAUAGGAGCUCCUGCUGCAUGGUGGGGGUUGGAAAGUUUCGGCGGUUGGGGAUGGACUCGCGGCUUAUCAGCUUGUUGGUGGGGUAGUGGCUUACCAAGGCUUUGACGGGUAGCCGGCCUGAGAGGGUGACCGGCCACCUUGGUACUGAGAUACGGCCCCGACUCCUCCUGGCGGCCGCCGUGUGGACUCUUGCACACUUGGCGGAAGCCUGCUGCAGCAACGCCGCGUGCGGGAUGACGGCCUUCGGAUUGUCAACCGCUUUCGCCUGUGACGAAGCGUGAGUGACGGUACUGGGUAAAGACGCACCGGCUAACUACGUG